rnacentral:rRNA from 1 species
ACGAACGCUGGCGGCGUGCUUAACACAUGCAAGUCUAACGGAAAGGCCCUGCUUUUGUGGGGUGCUCGAGUGGCGAACGGGUGAGUAACACGUGAGUAACCUGCCCUUGACUUUGGGAUAACUUCAGGAAACUGGGGCUAAUACCGGAUAGGAGCUCCUGCUGCAUGGUGGGGGUUGGAAAGUUUCGGCGGUUGGGGAUGGACUCGCGGCUUAUCAGCUUGUUGGUGGGGUAGUGGCUUACCAAGGCUUUGACGGGUAGCCGGCCUGAGAGGGUGACCGGCCACAUUGGGACUGAGAUACGGCCCAGACUCCUACGGGAGGCAGCAGUGGGGAAUAUUGCACAAUGGGCGGAAGCCUGAUGCAGCAACGCCGCGUGCGGGAUGACGGCCUUCGGGUUGUAAACCGCUUUCGCCUGUGACGAAGCGUGAGUGACGGUAAUGGGUAAAGAAGCACCGGCUAACUACGUG